CUACGUGCCAGCAGCCGCGGUAAUACGUAGGUCCCGAGCGUUGUCCGGAUUUAUUGGGCGUAAAGCGAGCGCAGGCGGUUUGAUAAGUCUGAAGUUAAAGGCUGUGGCUCAACCAUAGUUCGCUUUGGAAACUGUCAAACUUGAGUGCAGAAGGGGAGAGUGGAAUUCCAUGUGUAGCGGUGAAAUGCGUAGAUAUAUGGAGGAACACCGGUGGCGAAAGCGGCUCUCUGGUCUGUAACUGACGCUGAGGCUCGAAAGCGUGGGGAGCGAACAGGAUUAGAUACCCUGGUAGUCCACGCCGUAAACGAUGAGUGCUAGGUGUUGGACCCUUUCCGGGGUUUAGUGCCGCAGCUAACGCAUUAAGCACUCCGCCUGGGGAGUACGACCGCAAGGUUGAAACUCAAAGGAAUUGACGGGGGCCCGCACAAGCGGUGGAGCAUGUGGUUUAAUUCGAAGCAACGCGAAGAACCUUACCAGGUCUUGACAUCCCUCUGACCGCUCUAGAGAUAGAGCUUUC
rnacentral:rRNA from 1 species